AGUUGAUGUAAUGUAUAAAAACAUGGAAAUAAUAUUAUCUGUACAGAUGCCAAAAAAACAUAAAUAUAGCAAUCUCAUCAAAUAUUUAUAUUGGAAUGAUAUUAACUUAAGGUUUUCAAGUCACAUUACAUAAACACCAUUUUGUCCAAAUAUGAUUUCUUUCAUCUUAUCCUUCCAUUAAUUAGACUAUUUCCUAGCCCCCAUCUGAGUUUACUGGUUGCUCAAUCUGAUCAUUCAGAACUCUGAACCUGUCAACCCAGCUCCAGAUAUGUAUAUAUUGAGUUCUUUACAAUCGUCUAAUCUUUAAAUUACAAUAUUAGAACUCAAUAUUAGAACUCUCUUCUUCAUUUUUUGUAGGGAUCAAA
rnacentral:misc_RNA from 1 species